UACAGAGGGUGCAAGCGUUGUUCGGAAUUACUGAGCGUAAAGCGCGUGUAGGUGGCGAGGCAAGUCGGGUGUGAAAGCCCUGGGCUCAACCCAGGAAGUGCACUCGAUACUGCCUAGCUAGAGUCCCGGAGAGGUUGGUGGAACUCUCGGUGUAGAGGUGAAAUUCGUAGAUAUCGAGAAGAACACCGGUGGCGAAGGCGGCAUCCUGGACCGACACUGACGCUGAGGAGCGAAAGCCAGGGGAGCAAACGGG
rnacentral:rRNA from 1 species